GAGUGGAGUAUACAAUAUAUUGUUAAUCAGGGUAAGUUCGGAUACAGGGUAAGUCCGGAUAAUUCAAGUUAACACUAAAUUAAACUACAGUUACGGUACGGUACUACAGUUUGCGGUUGCAGUGC